rnacentral:rRNA from 1 species
UACGAGGGGGGCAAGGGUUGUUCGGAAUUAUUGGGCGUAAAGGGUGCGUAGGCGGUGCGGUAGGUCUGUUGUGAAAUCUCCGGGCUCAACUCGGAGUCUGCAUCAGAAACUGCCGUGCUGGAGUGUGGGAGAGGUGAGUGGAAUUCCCGGUGUAGCGGUGAAAUGCGCAGAUAUCGGGAAGAACACCCGUGGCGAAGGCGGCUCUCUGGGACGGUACUGACGCUGAGACGCGAAAGCGUGGGGAGCGAACAGG